rnacentral:rRNA from 1 species
GACGGGCCCGCACAAGCAGCGGAGCGUGUGGUUUAAUUCGAUGUUACACGAAGAACCUUACCAGGGUUUGACAUGCAAGUGGUAGGAAGCCGAAAGGUGACCGACCCUUCGGGGAGCUUGCACAGGUGCUGCAUGGCUGUCGUCAGCUCGUGUCGUGAGAUGUUCGGUUAAGUCCGCUAACGAGCGCAACCCUCGCUGUGUGUUAUAUGUGUCACACGGGACUGCCGGUCUUAAGCCGGAGGAAGGUGGGGAUGAUGUCAAGUCAGCAUGGCCUUUAUAUCCUGGGCUACACACACGCUACAAUGGCCAACACAAUAGGUUGCUAAGCCGCGAGGUGGCGCCAAUCCAUAAAGUUGGUCUCAGUUCAGAUUGUAGGCUGCAACCCGCCUGCAUGAAGAUGGAGUUGCUAGUAACCGCAGGUCAGCUAUACUGCGGUGAAUACGUUCCCGGGCCUU